rnacentral:lncRNA from 1 species
AGACACAAGAGCGAGUAGCAGAAGUGGUUUCAACAGAUGAAUUAGCAGAUGUUGGUCCUCGGGCCCGUUGUCACUGUCAGGUUAGCUCUAACAAUAUAGUACAAAGAGGAUGUGACAAUGUUAAGUAGCUAGUCUUUAUUGCUGAAGGAUAACCAAAACUAGGAGAAAAUAUCAGCUAGUCUUAGAACCUUGAAGAAAUUACAAAAUCAGGCGGAGGAAGUAUCAGUCAGAACCCC